rnacentral:rRNA from 1 species
UACGGAGGAUGCGAGCGUUAUCCGGAUUUAUUGGGUUUAAAGGGUGCGCAGGCGGUCUGUUAAGUCAGCGGUCAAAGCCCGGGGCUCAACCCCGGCCCGCCGUUGAAACUGGCAGUCUCGAGUUGGAGAGAAGUAUGCGGAAUGCGCGGUGUAGCGGUGAAAUGCAUAGAUAUCACGCAGAACUCCGAUUGCGAAGGCAGCAUACCGGCGCCCUACUGACGCUGAGGCACGAAAGCGUGGGUAUCGAACAGG